rnacentral:rRNA from 1 species
CCUACGGGAGGCAGCAGUGGGGAAUCUUGCGCAAUGGGCGAAAGCCUGACGCAGCCAUGCCGCGUGAAUGAUGAAGGUCUUAGGAUUGUAAAAUUCUUUCACCGGGGACGAUAAUGACGGUACCCGGAGAAGAAGCCCCGGCUAACUUCGUGCCAGCAGCCGCGGUAAUACGAAGGGGGCUAGCGUUGCUCGGAAUUACUGGGCGUAAAGGGAGCGUAGGCGGAUAGUUUAGUCAGAGGUGAAAGCCCAGGGCUCAACCUUGGAAUUGCCUUUGAUACUGGCUAUCUUGAGUAUGGGAGAGGUAUGCGGAACUCCGAGUGUAGAGGUGAAAUUCGUAGAUAUUCGGAAGAACACCAGUGGCGAAGGCGGCAUACUGGCCCAUUACUGACGCUGAGGCUCGAAAGCGUGGGGAGCAAACAGGAUUAGAUACCCUGGUAGUCCACGCUGUAAACGAUGAGUGCUAGUUGUCGGCAUGCAUGCAUGUCGGUGACGCAGCUACGACAUAAGACGACGUCCGCCGUCGGGGAGGUACGGUCGGCGAAGUAAGUUAAACGUUACAAAUAGUUAAGUUAGUACGGCGUUGAGACGUUGCCGACGGACGACGACGAGGGAGGAGG